CGUGCGUCUCUUUAGUGGGGGGAGCUCGUUAGUGCUGGCGUGACAACAGUACCCGUCGUCUUUUUUAGUCUUAAGUUGGUAAAGCGAGCGAGGCGAAGUUGCGCUUAGAACGAAAACCUUCUUUUGAUAUCUGCUUGCUUUUGUUUCUCGCUCCCCUCUGGCCCUUUCCCCUCUGGGUGUACUGAGGUGGUGGGACCUGUGAGUCGCAUGGGCGGUAGCUGUAUGGGGCUUCAGUCGAUCAUUGUCGUUCGUAUUGUGGGCCCGCUGAUUUACGGCAUGGAUUCGGACGAGGAACCGCCGGCGGCUGUUGCGAACACCUUUUCUACGACGGCGGCUCGUGGUGUGUCGUCGUCGCUGAUCUCUCGCCCACUGCUGAGCUCGGGUGUGGGGUUCAGGCGUGAGUCGGACUCGCUGGCAGAGCUCUGUGCGCACCUGAAGCGGAGAUACGAGGGGUUGUCGAGGCUACCAUCGCAUGUUCCAUCGGUAGUUUCCUUUUGCGUCGGCGGCAAGGACUUUGCUGUGUCGCGCGCGCUGUUGGAGAAGGACCCUGGCUCGCUGCUGUUUUCCCUUGCAAGGCUGCACUUCUGUAGUACGUCAUCUGCUAAGGGGGCUGCAGACGCGAGUGCCCGUGGCCGCAAGCGCUCUCGUGAUGGCAACGACGAGACGAUGACUGACGCUGUCGUUUCGAUCCCGGAAAGAAAUGCGCGACUCUUCGGCAUGCUGCUCAAUCUCCUACGUGGAUACAAGAACGCGAUUCCAGAGGAAUGGAUGGACUCGUGCCGUGAGGAGGCCGCGUACUACGGCUUGUCAGGCUUGUGGAACUCCCGGUUCCACAUUACAUCGUCGCAGUACUACUUUCGCAAUCCCCUGCACAACUCAAAGCUGAUCUCCGAUGCCGUGCUGGGUGUCGCGAGCGAUUUCUUCAGCACGGGCCAGCAUCACAUCGACUUCAGCGUUUCCCAGUGUGAUCGUGUGGCUGUCGGGAUGAUUAGCUCAAACGUCGGCUCUGCGGAGGAGCCGGUCACGCCGCCGCAUGACGGCAACAACGGUGCGUUCUAUUGGAACGACGGCAAGCUGUCCUUCUACCUUGGCGAGCCGCGGGUGGUCGAGACGGGGCUCCCGUUCCCGGCUGGCGCGAUCAUACGCAUCAUCUUUGACGCCGAUGAGCGCAUUGUCCGCUGGGUUGUGAAUGGAGAGUACUGCGUGGCGAUGGAGCGCUUGCCGGCAGGGCGCCAGUAUGCCUUUAGCUCCAUUGCCGCCCGGAGCUCUCAGGUGACCAUCGUGCCAACGUAGCCGUGCUGGUCUCUUUGCUUUCUUUCGCUGAAUAGAGUGGAGGUGUACUUUUCCACGUAUGCGAUGACUCGCGUAUUUUCGGGCUGCGCGGGCGACGAC
rnacentral:misc_RNA from 1 species